AGAAAGGCUUCCGUGCGGCAACGUUCGGGGGCUUUUUUCUUUUGG
rfam:Agrobacterium sp. DSM 25559 isolate DSM25559 genome assembly, contig: DSM25559_contig2